UGACAACUGUCGGACUAACCGAUAACUCAAAAAUAAAACCAAGUCGAUGUGUUCAAAAAUAUGUAACGCGAGUGCACAGUCUGUUAUUGCAGUACGAGUAAGUUAUUUAACACUAUACUUCUGAGACAUUGAUAUCAGAUAAUUAUAACGGCUGUACGCGGGACGACCUGAAGAAAUUUGAUCGAUUCGGUUGGUGCAUAGUAAAUAGUAAUCGUACCGAAGACAUUUAGACGACAUUGCGACGGAAAUCGUUAUUCGCUGUAGGUAUACGCGUACCUACGGAAACCCGACAGACAGACAGACGGCGAGCACAAUGGGUGGAAUGACGCCACGGCGUCUGCAGUGCGGAGGAAUUCCAAUCGGUCGAGUACUAUUACAGUCAACUGCACACCAAAAACGAACGGAAUUGGGGAAAACGGUCUAUCGCGCGGAGCGCACAAUCGGAAUACGCACGUAUAUAGUUGCAGAUGCGGUGUCCUUAGGGAAUGAUUAAACACAGCUUCAUUUGAUUCAGUUAUGGGCGUUAUGGCACCGAAUAGUGACCAAUGAAAAAUGGGACCAAAGCCACUCAGCGACAUGAUUUACCCGGACAUACAUUCCUGUGGAAACUGCAGCCUGUAUACCAUGCACACGCAAAACCGCUAUACAAGUGCAUAAUAUAGUAUGUCCACCGAGCACAUUUUGUGGAAUAGAUCGAAAGCUAAGACGAACAGGUGGUUGGUAUGAUACAGCCGGACUCGAAAUUGAAGAGACCGUCCAAAAAGUUUGAGCUAUCCAAGGAUAUUACAAUAAUAGGAAAUUCUAGGGACCGGGAAAAAGUUCGAGUUGACCAAGUCCGACUGCAUAUUAAUAUGAGUAACUGACAAUAUUCGUCGGAACAGUCGGCUGCAUUGUCUUCCGCGUGGUCCGUAUACAUGUAUAAAGGCUCAUGACCGAAAGGAUGGCGACGACGAUGACGACGACGAUGUCCUCGACCGGAGCUCUAGGCGUUCGUCAUCGACUUAUUAUUAUCCGUAUAGGAGCGGAGGGCAGCAGUAUAUUUACACAGCAGAUCUAUGACUCAAACGGUGCAAUUUCAAUGGUAACUAAAGUCAGUAUAGUGCGUGUGACUCGGGGAAACGUUCAAACGUCGGAGCGAUCUCAGAA